AGCGAUGGAGAGCUUGCUUUCCAGAGCGAGUGGCGAACGGGUGAGUAACGCGUGAGGAACCUGCCUCAAAGAGGGGGACAACAGUUAGAAAUGACUGCUAAUACCGCAUAAGACCACAGCACCGCAUGGUGCAGGGGUAAAAACUCCGGUGGUAUGAGAUGGACCCGCGUCUGAUUAGGUAGUUGGUGGGGUAACGGCCUACCAAGCCGACGAUCAGUAGCCGACCUGAGAGGGUGACCGGCCACAUUGGGACUGAGACACGGCCCAAACUCC
rnacentral:rRNA from 1 species